rnacentral:snRNA from 1 species
GGAUGUGAGGGCGAUCUGGCCGCGGCGUCUGUCACCGCAGUAACCGCCAGGGUGGACUCGGCUGCUCUGGCUGGCUGGGCGGGUGUCCCUUCCGUCCUCGCCGCUGCGAGCGCGUCCCUCCCGAAGCUGCGGCUCGGUCGAACAGGACGACCCUACCCGCUAGAGGAGCUGCGCUCCCCCGCUAGACCCUCCAGACAAGCGCUCAAGCUCCAUUUGUGGGGGAGCGUAGGGUUGUCAAGACUCCACACACAUCCACAGGAGGCGCUGCAUGUGGGAAUCUGCCUUUCUAG